CAGUAGCCACGGUAAAACGAAGGGGGCUAGCGUUGUUCGGAUUUACUGGGCGUAAAGGGCGCGUAGGCGGGCUGAUCAGUCAGGGGUGAAAUCCCAAGGCUCAACCUUGGAACUGCCUUUGAUACUGUCGGUCUUGAGUUCGAGAGAGGUAAGUGGAACUGCGAGUGUAGAGGUGAAAUUCGUAGAUAUUCGCAAGAACACCAGUGGCGAAGGCGGCUUACUGGCUCGAAACUGACGCUGAGGCGCGAAAGCGUGGGGAGCAAACAGGAUUAGAUACCCGAGUAGUCCCUGUCUCUUAUAC
rnacentral:rRNA from 1 species